UAAUCUUUAAUAUAGUAUAUUUAUAGGAAUGCAUAACUUGAGAUGUACAUUUUGAAGCUUCAUCCAUAACUUAGAGCAUUUACUGUAAUGAUAAUAACAAGACAGCAAGUCAUCACUUUACAACAUUACACAUGAGUGAUUUUGACUUACAAAUAAAAUAUUUACAACCUACCUUUACAAAACAACAUUGUGUGCAUACAAAAUGAACAACUGCAGAAAAAUUUAAAAAUAAUGAGACAACCAAAAACCCAGAAGAUACACUUAAGGCAGACCAGCAAGACACUGAAAUAAUUAAGGCUGUGGAAUUCUUCUGCACCUUGAAAAUAUAGAGCUAUUUAUCAAUACUGUGGAGUGAUUUUAAAUCAAUUGUUACAAGCCUGAUGGAAGUAUGUACUUAUAUGUAUAUGUGUAAUGGUCCCUAUGGGGAAACCUGUCCACUUAUGGAUAAGGCCCUUUAUCUGAAUGGCCAGAGAAGCCCACCCCCAAACUCUCAAACGAUCUGGUGGGGAGGAAUCACUCAAAACCAAGAGGUGCCAAUAAAAUUUGCAAACCAACUGUUAAAUAUUCAAAUAUAAAGAUUCUUCUGACUCCAGGCAAACAAUAACCUAAAUGAUGGUCCCAUUAUGUUUCAAGCUUUGUUCAUUUGGCUUUGUAGCUUCAAAAGACAGCAAAUAAAUCCCCAGUGAGUAGACUCUAACUCUACCCAUCAGCCCUAAUGGUUUUGAAUGGCCCUAAAUGGUUUUCUACUAGAAAACUGAUCCACCUGGGCUGUCUUCAAAUGGAUAGAUUUCUGCAUAUGAGCAAUA
rnacentral:lncRNA from 1 species